CCUACGGGUGGCAGCAGUGAGGAAUAUUGGUCAAUGGAUGAGAGUCUGAACCAGCCAAGUCGCGUGAGGGAUGACUGCCCUAUGGGUUGUAAACCUCUUUUGUAAAGGAGUAAAGCGAGGCACGUGUGCCUUUAUGCAUGUACUUUAUGAAUAAGGAACCGUGUACUCCGUGCCAGCAGCCUCGUGAAUAAGGAGGAACCGAGCUUUAUCCGGAUUUAGUGGGUUUACAGGGGGCGUAGAUGGGUUGUUAGGUCAGUUGGUAAAUUUGGCGGUUGAACCGUCAACUUGCAAUUGAUACUGGCAGUCUUGAGUACAGUUGAGGUAGGCGGAAUGCGUGGUGUAGCGGUGAAAUGCUUAGAUAUCACGAAGAACCCCGAUUGCGAAGGCAGCUUACUAAACUGUGACUGACAUUGAUGCUCGAAAGUGUGGGUAUCAAACAGGAUUAGAUACCCUGGUAGUC
rnacentral:rRNA from 1 species